rnacentral:rRNA from 1 species
AUGGCCUCGAGAAAGCUGCGCCAUUACUUCCAAGCACACGAGAUCACAGUCGUCACUCGCUUUCCGCUGAAGAGGAUACUGCAGAAUCCGGAAGCAACAGGCAGGAUUGUCGAGUGGGCACUGGAACUGUCAAGCUUUGGCCUCAAGUUUGAAAGCACCUCAAUUAUCCAAAGCAGAGCAUUGGCAGAGUUCAUAGCAGAGUGGACGCCAACACCAGAUGAAGAAAUUCCAGAAACGAGCAUCCCCGUCAAGGAAGCAAGCAAAGAGUGGCUGAUGUACUUUGAUGGUGCUUUUUCGCUGCAAGGCGCCGGUGCCGGCAUGCUGCUUGUCGCACCCACCGGAGAGCACCUCAAGUACGUAGUUCAGAUGCACUUUCCCAAGGAGCAAGCAACAAACAAUACUGCG